rnacentral:rRNA from 1 species
CCUACGGGAGGCAGCAGUGGGGGAUAUUGCACAAUGGGGGGAACCCUGAUGCAGCGACGCCGCGUGUGUGAAGAAGCGCCUCGGCGCGUAAAGCCCUGUCAGCAGGGAAGAAAAUGACGGUAUCUGAAGAAGAAGCCCCGGCUAACUACGUGCCAGCAGCCGCGGUAAUACGUAGGGGGCAAGCGUUAGGCGGAUUUGCUGGGUGGAAAGGGGGCGCAGACGGCGAUGCAAGCCAGGAGCGAAAGCCCGGGGCCCAACCCCGGGACUGCUCUUGGAACUGAGUGGCUGGAGUGCAGGAGGGGCAGGCGGAAUUCCUGGUGUAGCGGUGAAAUGCGUAGAUAUCAGGAGGAACACCGGUGGCGAAGGCGGCCUGCUGGACUGCAACUGACGUUGAGGCCCGAAAGCGUGGGGAGCAAACAGGAUUAGAUACCCUGGUAGUC